rnacentral:tRNA from 1 species
AGGGGUGUAGCUCAGUGGCAGGGUGCUUGCCUAGUGUGCAUGAGACCCUGGGUCCAACCCCCAGUACCACAA